rnacentral:rRNA from 1 species
UACGAAGGGGGCUAGCGUUGCUCGGAAUUACUGGGCGUAAAGCGCACGUAGGCGGUCUUUUAAGUCGGGGGUGAAAUCCUGGAGCUCAACUCCAGAACUGCCUUCGAUACUGGGAGACUCGAGUCCGGGAGAGGUGAGUGGAACUGCGAGUGUAGAGGUGAAAUUCGUAGAUAUUCGCAAGAACACCAGUGGCGAAGGCGGCUCACUGGCCCGGUACUGACGCUGAGGUGCGAAAGCGUGGGGAGCAAACAGG